GGGACUUCCGGUCGGCGCCAGCGCUUAAUGGCGGUCCUCCCUUCGAGCUCCGGAGGAGGACUGCUCCGCGAGUUCGGGUCUGACCUGCUACGGCGAGCGGGGGACCCCUAAAAUCACAGGCGCGGAAGCCUGUGAACAAGGAGACUCGGUGGGCACCUUUGCGCCCCCCGGUACUGUGAAAGAGCCUUUUUAAAGGCUACGGAGCGGCAUCGGGGGUGAGCGCGGUGCUGAGAGUCGCAACCCAGCCCGUGGAGUGAAGCCGCGUCGCCAUGAGCGGAGAGCGCCGAUUCCUUCCUGAACCAGAAAUUCGACUCUAAAGCCCGUGAGUAAGACGGAGGGACUGAAAGGGACAUUUAAAUUUAAAUCUUGAAAUUUGGCUGAAAACGGGAAAGGCAUAAAUUAAGGAAGUCUGCCUCCCCCGAUCUGCAUGGCAAGUAAAGCAACGAAAGAGUAAAGCUGCAUUUGAAAGAAAAUUACCUUUAAGCUGUCAAACCUGACAUUUGACUUAAACCUCCCCCCCAGUAAGCAGGAGAGGGGGGGAAGAAAAUUGGACACUGUUAACCUGCUUGAAAUUAAAUGAGGGGAAAAAAACAUCUUCCAUUGUCAAACCCCCAGGACGGACUGCCUGAGUAAGGCACCGGCAAAGUGAACUGUCAGUUUAGACUGGAUACAAAGUUGGGGUCUUGUCUGAGACAAAGUUACGGGACUUUAAUGGAAUUACUUUGUUGAACUUGUGAUUUACUGAAAAAAGUGCGACAGAAACUUUCACUGUGGACUCUUGGACUUUUUUUUUUUUUGUUGAUUGCUCUGUGCUUCCUUGUUUUUUCUCUUUUCACUUGGAUACAAUUAAAUGCUCCCUCUAGAGGGUAUAAAGAGAAACUGUUACAGUGAAAAAGAAACAGUGGGAUUUUCCACUUGCAAGUUUUUCCUGUGAGAACGACCUUGAGGAUAUGAGUGGCCCAGCAGAAGAGAUAACAACUAGAUCCAAAGCAAAACAGACACAAAAGAAAAGGGGCUCAAUACCCGGCAUACCACCAGCUGCACAGGAAAAAGUGGCAACAGCAUCUAUGGAUUCAAUGACACAGGCACUGCUCAAAAUAAACCAAUCUUUAGAAGCACUGACAAAGCUAUCUACGGAAAAUUCAAAAAAAUUGACAGAACUGACAGCAAGAUUGGACUUGAAUACUGCAAGUGUAACAUCUAAUACAGAAUCUAUUAAUAAACUAAUUCAAGAAAGUUCUGAAACACGAAAGAUUGCUGAAAGUGCAAAAAUACUGCGGAGGAGACAAGGCAGGAGCUUGUGCCGAUUACAAAAAAGUGAAUGAACAUGAUGCAGCUCUAUCUUUGUUGGAACUACAGAGAAAAGAAAAAUUUGAAAUUGAGAUUGGUUCCCGAGAGUGAGGGAGACAACCUUGUGGAUUUUCUUACACAGAACUUUAUGGAAUUCUGGCAAGAGGAGCUGCAGGAAGAAGAACUUGAAAUAACAACAGCUUUCCGGCUCGGCAGGAGGCAGGGGAAGAAGCCAAGGGAUUGUUUGAUCACAUUGAGAUCCAAAGGAGAAAGAGAUAAGAUAUUGAAUUUGCAUUAUCAAAAGGCAUUGGAGAUUGAAAAUAGUCAAGUACAAAUUUUUAAAGAUAUCCCUAAAUAUAUUUUGGAGGUGAGAGCCUUCUAUAAAGAUUUGGUCUACCUGCUGAAGAAAAACAUCAUACCCUUCAGGUGGGAGUUUCCACAAGGAUUGUCUUUUACUUUCAAAGGAAGGAAGGUUAAAAUAAGAACAGUUCAAGAUAAAGAACAGUUUCUGGAGAGAUAUCAGGAGGACUUGCAGAAAGGAACAGUAGAAACAACAAUACAAGAAAAAGGAGUGACAGACAUUGCAAACUUGUCAUUUGGACUCAUACCAUCACCUGAAGAGGAACAAAAGCUAGGAGCAGUCGGAGGAACAGGUACUUAAUAACAAAAUGUCUCUGCAACUUCUUAGCUGGAACUGUAAUGGUUUGAACCUUCCCCGAAAAAGACGCCAAGUUUUUCAUAUUUUGAAAAGAGAACAAUUAGAUCUAAUAUGCCUACAAGAGACUCAUGUGACCAGGACACAUCGGAAAUUAUUGGUAAAUAAGAGACUUGGACAAGAAUUUAUUUCAUCAGAUAAAGUUAAGAAAAGAGGCGUGGUGAUCUAUGCAAAAGAAAAAUUGGCUCCAAAGAUGAUAUUUAAAGAUGAACAAGGAAGAUACCUGGCAAUUGAAAUACAAGUUCAAGGAGAAAAAAUUUUGAUAGUUGGAAUCUAUGCACCAAAUGAUGGGAAGGCGGAAUUCUUUAAGAAGUUGCAUGAGACUUUAAUGGACUAUUUAGACUACAGAAUUAUAAUGAUGGGAGACAUGAAUGGCGUAGUUUCCACAAAUAUGGAUAAAGCACAGAGACAAGUAAUUUCCAAGGAAGGAGACUACCAAAGACUUUUUUGAAAUGACUGAAACUAUGGACUUGAUUGACAUUUGGAGAACAAGGAACCCUCUUGAGAGAGAGGGAACUUUUUCUCUGAAGCAAAAAUGACAUGGACAAGAAUUGACCAAAUUUGGGUAACUAGCAGUAUGGCGCCAAGGAUUAAAAAGGUAGAAAUCUGCUCAAAGACUUGCUCCGACCAUAAUGCUGUAAAGAUGGAGAUGAAACUUACAACAACUGGAUCCUUCAGAUGGAGAAUGAAUGACACCCUAUUCAGGGAUGAAGAGAUUUAUAAGAAGGCCCAAAAAACAGUGAAAGAUUAUUUUGAGAUAAAUUUGAGAACAGAAGUGGAAAAAAAGAAUAAUUUGGGACGCAAGUAAGGCCGUGAUGCGAGGUUUCCUAAUACAACAGAACUCCAUAAAAAGGAAAAAUCAAAAUGAAAGGAAAGGAAAAAUUCUGGAAAAAAUAAAAGAAGGUGAAAAGAAAUUGAGGUCUAAACCAAAGUCUCAUGAGAUUCUGAAAGAAAUAAAGUACUAUCAGGUGCAAUAUAUGGAAUUGAUGAAUCAAGAGAUAGAAUGGAAAAUAAAGCAAAUGAGACAAAAGACAUUUGAAUCAGCAGAUAAAUGUGGGAAAUUUCUGUCAUGGCAAUUGAAAAAGAGGCAAAAAUUGAACACUGUGACAAGUUUAGAAGUGGACGGAAAGAUUAUCCACAAACCAAAUGAGAUAAGUAAUUGUUUUCAAGGUUAUUUUAGGAAAUUAUAUGCACAAGGGCCAGUUAAUGAACAGGAAAUAGAAGAAUUUGUUAAGAAACAUGGAUUACCAAAAAUUUCAGAGCAAAGCAGAAGGAUUUUGAAUGAGAAAAUAACAGGACAAGAAAUAGAGGGUGCCAUUCAGAAGAUGCAAUUGGGAAAAGCUCCAGGACCAGAUGGUUUGACCGCCAGAUACUAUAAAGUGUUGAAGGAAUGGUUAGUACAACCACUGAAGGAAGUAUGUAAUGAAAUUUUGGAGGGAAAAAGGCACCAGAGUCGUGGAAAGAAGCUUUUAUCUCACUUAUACCGAAAACUGAGACUGAAAAGAACCAGGUUAAAAACUACCGCCCUAUAUCAUUACUCAAUGUGGAUUACAAAAUUUUUGCGGACAUUAUGGCAAAAAGACUGAAGAGAGUGUUGGUAGGGGAGAUUCAUAAAGACCAAACUGGCUUUCUUCCAGGGAGAUAUAUGUCGGACAAUGUGAGGAACAUUAUAGACAUUUUGGAACUGUUAGAAGUGGACAUUAAUAGGAAGGCUGUUUUAAUUUUUGUGGACGCGGAGAAAGCCUUUGACAAUAUUGGUUGGAGUUUUAUGAAGAAGAAUCUCCAAGGGAUGGGGGUAGGUCAAGGGUUUGAAAAUGGUAUAGGUGCAAUAUACUCUAAACAAAAGCAAAGUUAAUUGUAAACAAUGUGGUAACGGAAGAAAUACCUAUAGAAAAAGGUACACGACAGGGGUGCCCAAUAUCCCCUCUAUUGUUUAUAUUAGUCCUGGAGGUUUUGUUAAAUAUGAUUAGAGGAGACCAGUUGGUUAAAGGAGUACAAGUCGGAGCCAAACAGUACAAGUUAAGGGCAUUUGCAGAUGACCUAGUAUUGACCUUGCAACAGCCAGAUACUAGUACUAAAAGAGUAUUAGAACUAAUUGAGAUAUUUGGUCAAGUAGCAGGAUUUAAACUGAACAAACAGAAAACGAAAGUGUUGGAUAAAAAUUUAACAUUGGCCGAAAAGAGAAGUUUCAGAAUGAAACAGGACUAGUGAUAACGAAAAAGUAAAGUACCUGGGGGUAAACUUAACAUCUAAGAAUGUGAAUUUAUUUAAGGACAAUUAUGAUAAAUGUUGGACAGAGGUAAAGAAGGAUCUAGAAAUAUGGUCAAGGUUGAAACUUUCUUUGUUAGGCCGAAUUGCUGUUAUCAAGAUGAAUGUAUUGCCUAGAAUGUUGUUUUUAUUUCAGACAUUGCAGAUUUUGGACA